rnacentral:lncRNA from 1 species
UAGAGAGAGAGAGAGAGAGAGAGAGAGAGAGAGAGAGAGAGAGAGAGAAUUAGACUGGAAUACUAUCAAUAGCAACAAGUUAUUGGUGCUAUUAGUUUUUUAGCCCUUGGAUUGAGAAAUGUGUGGUUAGGAUGAUGUGGGCCCCUUAGUACGUAUUUAUGCAUCGUGGUUUCUACCCCUCGAGAUAGUUGGUUUUUAAAAAUGGAGUUUCUGAGUGGGAAACAGUUUUAAAAGGUUUUCGAAUGGUUUUAUGAAUUAUUAAAUAGAGUUUAAAAACAAAGCUUCCGGUUGGGGAGAACUUUUAAAUAGAAUGACUGUUGUAUUGUGCAUCGCAUUAUCCAACGCCUAAGGAGUGUUUAGAGAUAUGCAUCAUCUCUAAGUACGCUAGCUGUAUGGAU